UCCUGUUAAUAACCUCCGUGUUGUUGAUACUCACAGAAUCGGGUAGGCUAGCUGAGACAAACUCCUCCUUGUUAACUAGAAAGUAGUCUGGAUCACUCGCCAGGGUGUUUUAUGAGUCUUGUUGCUGCUGGGUAGAAUCAGCUACAGUAUUAACCACAACUGCUGUGGUUAGGUGUACCACGGACAGCAGGGCAUGGAUACCUAUCUAGAGUCACCUGGCUAGAGGAAAUCUCAACUGAAGAAUUACUUCCAUCGGACUGGCAUGUGGGGCUAAUUUUGGUAAACUCUGGAAGAAACUGAGGACUGAAAGAAGUGAAAGAGCUUCUCACUAAAGGCAUGUUACUACUCAGCGGCCACCUGGGGCUCGAUCCCUCUGGACUCUUCUGGGAGAGCGCAGAACAAGUGUUAGAUCAUCUUUUGCAAGCACUGGAAGAGCAGGAAACACCAAAGAAUGUUACUGCCUGAUCCAAGCGAGGAAAUGACAAAUUUAAGGAAAUACAAACUGAGUUUUUGAAAUCUUUAUGUUAUGCUAAGUAUUAUUUGAAGAUUCUUCUCCUUAUCAGAGUAAUUAUCAACUGGUCCAUUGUGACACAAAAUAAUAAAGC